AGCAGCCGCGGUAAUUCCAGCUCCAAUAGCGUAUAUUAAAGUUGUUGCAGUUAAAAAGCUCGUAGUUGAAUUUCGGGGUUAGUAGGUUGGUCAUGCCUCUGGUAUGUACUGGUCUCACUGAUUCCUCCUUCCUGAUGAACCUUAAUGCCAUUAAUUUGGUGUUUUGGGGAAUUUGGACUGUUACUUUGAAAAAAUUAGAGUGUUUAAAGCAAGCUAACGCUUGAAUACAUUAGCAUGGAAUAAUGAAAUAGGACGUUCGAUCCUAUUUUGUUGGUUUCUAGGAUUGACGUAAUGAUUAAUAGGGAUAGUUGGGGGCAUUAGUAUUCAAUUGUCAGAGGUGAAAUUCUUGGAUUUAUUGAAGACUAACUACUGCGAAAGCAUUUUGCCAAGGAUGUUUUCAUUAAUCAAGAACGAAAGUUAGGGGAUCGAAGACGAUCAGAUACCGUCGUAGUCUUAACCAUAAACUAUGCCGACUAGGGAUCGGAUGAUGUUAAUUUUUUAAUGACUCAUUCGGCGCCUU
rnacentral:rRNA from 1 species